AAUAAUUGUACUCAUAAAAAACACAAAUCUAGUGGUGGGAUCCUGAACAACUGAGCAAAAGAUACCCCUCCUCAAGUCUUUAGAGAGGCAUUCCUGUAAAGCAAAAUAACAAGAUACAAUCUUAGAACUAAGCUCUGCUUCCCUUCAAAACAUCUCCACUUCCUUACACUCCAAAUCAUCCACCAGAUACAAGCUGAAAUAGCGUACCACUCGCUUAUUCUUACUUUGUCCAGUGCUACACAGAGUUUAGAAUGGUGUAAUAGGACAGUGCAAAAAGAGACAAAUAAGAGUUUCAGGAUGGUUGCCCACGUAAAUAACAAUCCAAGAGAAACGCGCUUCAAUUCUAUGAGGAGCUCAUGACUUCCUGAGGCCAUGGUUUGAGAUGUUGAUCGUCCUUUUCCAAGAUUUUACACAAAACUCGCCUUGGUUGCAGUCUUAAUAUUCAUAUUUCUUCUAUAAUUGAGUCCCCAUCAACUCUAGAAUUUGAAGACAAUGCCCAAUCGUACAAUUUGGGAAUUUGUUCUUCGAAGAUACAUGGCUCGUCUAUCUUCUCCUCCUCCUCCGCUUCCUUGGACUAUCAUCACUUUCACUAUCACUGUCGUCAGAACUGGUUGAUGAUGAUUCAGAUCCUGAAGAUUCUGAACCAGAACUCCCAGACUCAUCAUCCGAUUCAGAAAUGGGCUUUUGUUGUUGCAUUAUAAGCCUUGGCAUGUUCUUUAGAUAGUCUCGUAGAUUUUCAGUAAUUCCACCAAGACCAAUGGAAGUGAAAAAGUUGAUAGCAAACCUUGUAUUCUUGGGAUUGUCCUUUGGGAAAAUAGAGUCGAGAGAAUCUUGCAUGGUUGGGUCGUUUAGACGCUCAUUCAACAAGCGGAUACCUAGGUGCUCUGACAUCUCCUGGAAUAGAAUCUUGAUAAAAAUACGAGAAGAGGAGGUCGUAUCUUCCUCUGUCAGCCGUAUAUAAGCCAAACAAUGCCAAGGCAGAGCAUCAGUGCCGAGCAAAUGAGCAAAAAACUUGGCCACAUUACGCAGUUUGUUAGUUUCAAGCCGGUGGAUCAUGGAGUACUGCUGCACAAAACAUUUUUCAAAGUUUUCCUGAUGAAUUUUGUUGAUCAUGCAAAAACGCUGUCCCAGUAGUCCAUAGUAGCGAAGAUAAGUCCUUUCCUGACUGCAGCAUUCCAAUAACAUUAUGCACAACUCCAUCUCCUGACCAGGCUCUAGUUUGAUUUUCAACAACUUGUGUCCUGCUUCUUCAAAGUCAACACUAGACAUAAUCGUCAGGUAGAUCGUUCUCCGAAGGUUGAUUAAGUUUGUCUCUGUUUCAUCCUUUAUUUUCAUUUGCUCCUCAUCCUCUUCUUCGUCGGACUCUUCAUCUUCAUCUUCAUCCUCUGAUUCUGCAUCCGAAUCUCCUUCUUCCUCAGAUUCUUCACCAAGUAUUGCCUUCUUUAAUUCUUCAUACUUCCUUUCAUUUUCUAAGAAAUUAGGAUCCGGCUUGAAAAUAUCUAAAGCAAUUUCUGGAUCUAUUGUGUCCGAGAGAGAGACUUCAUGGGUUAAUUGAUCCUCCUGCUCAACAAGGUCAAGCUCUGGUCUAACAGCUUGGUAACCCUGAAACUUUGCUUUUCGCAAUGCAAAGAGGCUUUCAAUCAAGAACUGAACCCGUUUAUCUAUUUCUCCUUCAUGAAGUAUACCACGGAACCGCUCAAAGAUUCCAUGUAAUCCUCGUGGACAGAGGUCCUGAAGCAUUGAACCACAUUCUGUAACAAAACCAACUGCAACCUCAACACUAUCAUCAGUAGGUUUCUCCAACAAAACCGUGAGUAGUUCAAGAGCAAUAAGCUCGUGGACGAUUUGUUGGUUCACAAGGUGAGCAAUAAAUUUGACAGCUGCUAACAGCUGAGGCUUAUCAUUACGUUUAUAAGCUCUUUGCAGCUGCAGUAUGAUCCUUCUUAACAAAAGAUCACCCACUUCAGGGAACUUGGUAUUAACGACUGCAACCAAAGCAGCAAACACACCAGUAAAACCCGGAGAAGCUAUUUGGGACUUCAUACAGGAUCUACAAAACAAACCCCUCCCUCGAAUUAAAUUCUCUGCGAAUAAUUCUGGAAUAAUGUUUUUGAGGUUUGCUGCAUUAACUUUAUUCACCAGUCCAUUGAUACUCUUUCUCAGAGCAUCCCAAGUCAUCCUCUGGUACUCAACACUGCUCUUGUCCUGAACGUCCUUCAUCAUCCUAGCCAAUUUGAAUGGUGGAAUGUACACUCCCCCACUCCUGCCCAAUUUUGUUGUAUCGACAUUCAAAUUAACAUCUUGCUUUUGCACCUUGGAAACCUCACUGGCUUUCAGAGCCCCAUCUUCUUGGGUAUUAUCUUCCCUAUUAUUGUCUUUUCCAUGUUUAUCAGCCCCAAUCCUUUGCCUUGUAUCCUUUGUAUCAUUGGCAUCACCAUCAUCCUUCUUUUCUCUUUCUAUAUUCCUACUCUUCUCUUUCCUAUCCCCUUCUCUACCGUCAUUAUACCGAUCAACCCUACCCUCCCUUCUCUUUUGCACCUUUUCAUCAUCAGACUCCCGUUGCUUUUUCUCCCUCCAAUCAUCUCCAUUGUUUCGACUCCUCUCCUUCCUAUCGUUUCUUUCAUCUCCAUUCCUUCGACUCCUCUCCUUUCUAUCGUCCUUUACAUCAUCAGCUUCACUUUCAUGUCUACGUUUCCUCUUACUUCUAUCAUCUCUUUCAACGUCCUCAUCAACUUGGCUUACAUUUUUUGCGCUUUCCUUCCUACCAUCCCUCCUUUCAUCAUCUUCUUCACUUCCAUCCUUUGGUCUCCUCUGUCUUCUGUCAUCCCUUCCAGCAUCAUCUUCACGGUCAUUUCUUAGUCUUCUCUCCCUCCUAUCAUCCUUCUCAUCAGCAUCUACCUGUUCACUUUUUCUCCUCCUCUCCCUCGUUUUAUCUCUGUCACCUUCAUCUUCUUCUUCUUCUUCUUAGUGAUAAGAGUUGUCUACUCUUCAUUUAAGAAUUUAAUUCAACACUGCCAUUAGAAUGCCUUAAGUCACCAGGUGUGCAAUGCAAUUUUACUAUUUGCUAUUAUUAUUACCACUGGUUCAAAUAUACAAGCAUGAUAAUAAACAAACAGAUGGAAAUUCUGGACAUUCUUGGAUAAGAGGCAGUUGUCAUGGUUAUUUUCUGUUUAAUCCAUUCAAAUGCCUUGCACUCUUACUGUCAGUGUACUGUUUAAGCAUAGUGCAGUGGUAUUAAUUAGUUAUGAUUAUUCAUCCACAAUUAUAAAAUAUAGGAUGCUUAAUGGAUACCUUAAUGAAUCAGUUCUCAUGAACUGUUUCUGAAUGCACAUCUCCAACCUUUGGAAGCUAAAGUAUGUUACUCAUUUUGACAGGAACCAUCACUGCCAUUUAGUUGGAUAUCAACCUCCUGGUUUGAGGGCGCAUAAUGCUCUGAAGAAACAUAGUGCUAAAUCACAGAUGCAGUUGCCUGAAGAAGAAAUGCAUCUAGAUCAACCUGUUAAUGAUCCUUCGGCCAAUUUACCACAUAUGAGCAAUGGACAACUUGGAAAUGGUGGUCAAUCAAAUUUGCCUGUGGAAAUUCCAAUUACAGGUUUUGCAGAUGUAAGUGAUGCAAGCUUUCCUUAUUGCAUUUGAGUCAGUUUAAUCCACUGUCCUUUGCAUCACCAGUCAUGAGCAUAGGCAGGCUGCAGUUCAUUGAGUUUAAUUCUAAUCCUUAAAAUCUUUGCUGCAGGCACAGCUAUAUUAGAUGAGUGUGGAGACCCCAGAUAGCAACCUGAUACUAGCAUAAGGUUGAACCAGUACUUAUUUGAUGAAAAAUGAGUAGAUUGAGAAGCUAGUAUAAUGUGAGGCUAGCUAAAAGUUAAACCAGAUGUUAAUGACACUAGAAUAGAAAUAGAAGCAAUUUGAUUUAUAGUUCAUACUUCACAAGCAGAAAAGGAGAUGCAGAACCCUAGGUUCUCACAUCUAGAAUGCCAAGAACCAGGUUUGCCUUUGUAGAGGCUACGACCUUGAAAAGAGAAAUAAAACAGAAAAUUGCCAAACAACCCUACAGGAAAAUAAAAUUUACUUGAGCUAUGCCUAUUGGCAAUGCCUGUUCACUAUUAUCAAUAUUUUGAUGGAUUAUCUCGUCUGUUUUUAAUCAAAUAUUGAUAUCAUUAUGGAUGAGCAAUAAUGCUGCUUCACUUUUGUAUCUGUAAUAAUGUUACUAAUUACAAUUCAUGGCUGAAUGCCUUCUCUUUUUUUGUUAGGGAUUAUAUAAUGAAGUUAUAUCUGAAGAUGGUCGAGGUUCAAUAUCUGUUGAACUGAUUUGUGAAGAGAAUAUACAACUUUUUAUGAGGUUGCUAUUGCUGAAUUGUAUCCAAUGACUAUCUUCCCCAGGUGUGAGGAAUACAGGCAAAAGGAGACCGAGUUAAAACAAGUGGUAACCGAAUUAGAGAGAGAGUUGGAGCAGGCCAAGAGGAAGCGUGCUCAGCUUGCUGCGCACCUGGAGACUAAAAAGAAACAGAAGACAAUGAAACAGCAAACUGAGGAAGUUUCAUUGUGCUAGUUUUUAAGCCUUCAGCAAGCAUCGAACAAUGCCAAACUGAUGUUCUUUCAAGAACACCAACUAAAAGAACCAAGUUCAAAGUGGCUAAUUUUUUUUCCAAAAAGAAAAUGAAGGAAAAAAUCAUAAAAAUCAUUGUCGUAUUUUAUUAGGAAAUUCUUCUGUUGACCUGUUUUGGAAAUGGGUCAAGAUCAGUUGUGUUGCCCACUUUUCUAGGUUGCCUUAGAGAUAUGAUGGUGGUUUUGGCCACUCCAAUCCAAUGUAUAGAUAUAAUGGUGGUUUUGGCCACCCCAAUCCAAUGUAUAGAAACAUUAAAAUAUUCGGUAUAUAUGUGAAUGAUGACAUCUUCUAUCAGCUUGUGUUGGUUGAACUCCCAUCAAGUAUCAUUAGACUCCACAGUGGGAAUUUGUUGCAACUUAUGAUCAAAAUCAUUCUGUGAUUUUCAUAGGCUGAGCC
rnacentral:misc_RNA from 1 species